UACAGAGGGGGCGAGCGUUGUUCGGAAUUACUGGGCGUAAAGGGCGCGUAGGCGGCCCGCUAAGUCGAACGUGAAAGCCCCCGGCUCAACUGGGGAGGGUCACGCGAUACUGCUCGACUCGAAGGCAGGAGAGGGAAGUGGAAUUCCCGGUGUAGUGGUGAAAUGCGUAGAUAUCGGGAGGAACACCAGUGGCGAAGGCGACUUCCUGGCCUGUUCUUGACGCUGAGGCGCGAAAGCUAGGGUAGCAAACGGGG
rnacentral:rRNA from 1 species